rnacentral:piRNA from 1 species
UUCAGACCUGUUCCACUCU